GGGGGGACAUGCCGCUGCUUCUGGGAGCUGCUUGUGUUUUUACAUCUGAAAAACCUUGUGAAUGGUGUAGCAGCUAAUUGGGAAACACCUACCGAUCUUAUAUGAGAGACCACAACCGCUGUUUAAGGAGUGUGCAAGUGGAGCGGGAGUUGAAGUGGAUAUAGUGCUAUUAGUUAAAGAGAAAAUUCUGUCUUAAGCACAUACACAUUUUUAGAAACAAAGAGAGUAGGGAAAAGAAUGAAGUUCAAGAAACAAACUCAAAAAGAGGCGAAAGAACAAGAGAGAUGGAUGCAGCUACAGAAUGUGGAUGGCAGGGAGAUUCCUGUCCCAUCGCCAGUCCCCUGGUGAUACCAAAGCGCAUACAGCCCACAGUGUUGCCAGCUCUCAUCAUUUUAUCACGAGUCUCAUGUUAUUUGGUCUUCUUCUAAAAGCCCCAGCUCCUGGAGUCAUGUGAUGACAUGGAAUUCUCAGAUUUCAUCUCAAAAUAUGUUUCUAGCCUUCAUUGUUGCAAAGAAAUGCUUGAAAACAUGACUCAAGUGCACCUUAAAAUCUCAUCAACCAAAAGCACAUGUACUUGGAAAGCAGAACACGAAGCUACAGAGUGGAAGCCCCAUGUUGACAGUAGAACCCAUGUGGGAUAUGAUGACUGAAACAUAUAGUCAUAAUGAUGCUAAUAAGCAUCAAUUUAGUUCAGCCAUAUGGAUAACUGUCAGUGAGAAGGGGCCUCCUAAGGCCUACAUAUUCUGGCCAUUGUAUCCAGCCUUGUAACCUUUGGUAUUGUAGCUUGUGGCUAUAGCACUGAUAGGGUUCAUCACUACCAC